rnacentral:lncRNA from 1 species
CUUCUUUCUGUCUUCCUUCCCCCCACUCCCCGGCCUCCUUCUCCGCAUCUCCAGUCACUUUGCUUCGUACCUGCUGAUCUGCUGGUGCUAUUUGUCUUACGGGUUAUACUGCCUCCAUUCAUCAAGGUUAUUAGGCUCCUGCACAUGGCACACCUUUAUUCCUUUCAUUUCCCCUCUGCCUCCCGUCACCCCUGCCUGGUGUGUCUUCAACGGUCCCAUAAUAAAGCCUGGAGCUGCAGCCAAGUCACACAUGUUCCCGGACACAGGGAGGAACAAAUUCCAGGCAGAGAGGAAUUUCUACCAAACUGCUUCAGCUUCACGAUGAAGGGAAGGUUCUGAUGCUGUGGAGGAAGAGGAAAUGGGUACCAGGAAGGCUAUCCUCUACCAGAUGGUCAGAUGCAGAGCCAGGGCACGGACAGCAGAAGAGGCUGUGGUUAAUUCUAUUUUUUUUUCAAUUUUUUUUUUCUUUUUU